GAGCAGAAGAAGCCAGGCGAUUAUCCGGAGUACUCACGGGCAGAAAUCCUGGAUUUAUUUUUGGACGAAGGCUGGCUGCGCUUUGUUCGCCUUAUUCUGGCAGAAACGCCUCGCACGCACGGGGCAUGAUCGGGCGCGCAGGCUCGUCUCAUCAAACACGCAAAAAAAAAACAACCCCAAAACAAACCCAAAGAGGCGAGAGGGAGACGGUGACCUCGCUGAGCUGCAGGCGUGAGCGCAGCGCGGCUCUGUCGUGCUGGACGUGGAAGCGCGUUUCAGCAGCUCAACAACAUUUUGCUAAUGAAGAUCCGAAAUGAUGUGCAGACCAGCAGGACUGACCCGUGAGAUCGCGUGAGCCCUGCAGGAGGAUCUUUACUGCUCAGAGUGUUGAGGGUUCCUCCAGACACCCGCCUGCACACCGAACCCUCUUUACUGAGAGUGUAGAAUUACAUUAUUCUGCAUUUGGAGGCUUCAGUCCUUGACUUCUCGCCUCCCCUCAGGGGAAAACCUGGCGCCUCCUGCCCGGAUCAGACGACUCAAAACUGGACAGAGUGGUGAGGAGGGGAGGGGGGGUGAUGAAAGAAGAGAGGAGAAAUGCAGGCUGGGACGGUGAGGAUGGAGGGAUGUCACGGCAGACAGCUUUACAGAGCGGCCAACAGGAGCUCUAAUUUAAUUUCCUCCGCCGCACUGAGGAGCCACCAGCCGCCUGUCAGGCCGAGCUCAGCGGCUCCAUCCCCGGGCAGCAGGCGGGAGCUGCCCCGAGGCCAAUCUGGAGAGAGCAGGGGGUGGGGGGUGAUGAGGCUGACGUCUGUCUGAUAAUUAUAAAUGGAUCAUAAAUGAUACCCUCAUGUCAUGGAGGCCUUAAUGUUAGUCAACACAUAAGUUAAAUAGAAGUUAAAGACAUUUAUUCCGUCACUUAUUUUAGCUACUUUAAACACAUGAUCUGUGAUUUGAUUUCAUGAUUUUCAAUUUUUAGCCUCUAUUAUUGCCCCCAUUAUUAGGCCUGCUAUUACAUUUUACGGUGAAAGGGGGGUAAAUGAAUGUUUUUAAUAGCUUCUGUAUUUCUGGUUGUUAUUGGUGCUAUAAAUAUAAAGAUGAUGGUUUUAGAGCACAAUUUGUAUUAUUUUCCAAAUUUUAAAAUUACAGUCGCCUUUCUUAUGUUUUUAAGAGGACUGCAUAUUUCUAUGAUUCCCCUUUUCUCCAGGAAUACACAGAAAUAAAUUGGAACUCGUAACUGUGGCAACAGCGUGUCAAUAAACUGAGCUAUGUGCUAAAAUUUGACAGUCUAAUAAAGAAAAAUAUGAAUGUAACAGCGAAAGUAAAAUAAAACAGACAAUUGGUCGUUGUUUCUUUUUGUUUAUUUUUAUUUUUAAAAAACUAUGAAAUGUAUCCUUCCUGCUUUCGUUCCCCGGCUAGUUCUCUUUUUAAUUCCGCAGAUUGACUGUUAAAAGAUGAAUAAAAUGUUUGCUUUUUGAGACUGAAGCCUCGUUCGUGUGCAAAACAAUGAAAUUAAAGUCUGAAUUUACUGCUGCAUGAAUGAAAAAACAGGCUUUUGUACAGGAAAGAAUGAAGCGUGUGUGUGCAGAGAGAGAAAGAGAGAGAUGGCACAUUAGGCCUGAGGGUACAUCAUUAUUAGAGUGCCUG
rnacentral:lncRNA from 1 species